GACGAACGCUGGCGGCGUGCCUAAUACAUGCAAGUAGAACGCAGUUUCGCACGGGUGAGUAACGCGUAGGUAACUGCCUCAUAGCGGGGGGGACAUAUUGGAAAAGAUAGCUAAUACAGCAUACUGUGAGCUGGACCUGAGUUGUAUUAGCUAGUUGGUGGGGUAAAGGCUCACUAUGGCGACGAUACAUAGCCGACCUGAGAGGGUGAUCGGCCACACUGGGACGGAGACACGGCCCAGACUCCUACGGGAGGCAGCAGUAGGGAAUCUUCGGCAAUGGACGGAAGUCUGACGGAGCAACGCCGCGUGAGUGAUGAAGGCUUUCGGGUCGUAAAGCUCUGUUGUUAGAGACGCGGUACCUAACCAGAAAGGGACGGCUAACUACGUGCCAGCAGCCGCGGUAAUAC
rnacentral:rRNA from 1 species